AGAGUUUGAUCAUGGCUCAGCCUGAACGCUGGCGGCGUGGCUAAGACAUGCAAGUCGUACGGUGUAGCAAUACACAGUGGCGAACGGGUGAGUAAUGAAUCGCUAAUGUACCCCGGACUCUGGGAUAGCUGACCGAAAGGGCAGGUAAUACCAGAUGAUAUAACCGAACCGCAUGGUUUGGUUCUCAAAGGUCCGCCGGUCUGGGCGCAGGCGAUUUUGUAUCAGCUAGUUGGUGAGGUAACGGCUCACCAAGGCGACGACGCAUAGCCGGACUGAGAGGUUGGCCGGCCACAUUGGGACUGAGACACUGCCCAGACUCCAACGGGGGGCUGCAGUAACGAAUCUUCCGCAAUGCACGAAAGUGUGACGGAGCGACGCCGCGUGUGGGACGAAGUCCUUCGGGAUGUAAACCACUGUCAGGGGUAAGAAAGUUCUGAUCUACCCCAGAGGAAGGCACGGCUAACUCUGUGCCAGCAGCCGCGGUAAGACAGAGGUGCCGAGCGUUAGGCGGAAUCACUGGGCUUAAAGCGUGUGUAGGCGGACUUGUAAGUACCUUGUGAAAUCCCACAGCUCAACUGUGGAACUGCUUGGUAUACUGCUUGUCUUGAGCCACUUAGGGGCAGUCGGAACAGACGGUGGAGCGGUGAAAUGCGUAGAUAUCGUCUGGAACGCCAACGGUGAAAACAGGCUGCUGGGAGUGUGCUGACGCUGAGACACGAAAGCCAGGGGAGCAAACGGGAUUAGAUACCCCGGUAGUCCUGGCUGUAAACGAUGUCGACUAGAUCGUGGUGGCUCUGACGCCUUCACGGUCGAAGCAAAAGUGCUAAGUCGACCGCCUGGGAAGUACGGUCGCAAGGCUAAAACUCAAGGAAUUGACGGGGCUCACACAAGCGGUGGAGCAUGUGGUUUAUUCGAAGCACGCGCAGAACCUUACCUGGGCUUGACAUGCUAGAUUAUCCCGAUGAAAGUCGGGUAG
rnacentral:rRNA from 1 species